rnacentral:rRNA from 1 species
UACGUAGGGUGCGAGCGUUGUCCGGAAUUACUGGGCGUAAAGAGCGCGCAGGCGGUCGAUCAAGUCGAGUGUGAAAGCCCCCGGCUCAACUGGGGAGGGUCACGCGAUACUGCUCGACUCGAAGGCAGGAGAGGGAAGUGGAAUUCCCGGUGUAGUGGUGAAAUGCGUAGAGAUCGGGAGGAACACCAGAGGCGAAGGCGGCGACCUGGACAGGUACUGACACUCAACUACGAAAGCGUGGGGAGCGAACAGG